rnacentral:lncRNA from 1 species
CUCAAACAUUAGCCUCCAACCUAAGUAUGGGGAUAAGUGUAUUCUGUACCAUCAAGUAGACUGAACACUGUUAAGCAGCAAGAAAUGCAACAACAACAAGAGAUGCUAGGGCAGUUUGGAAUGGAAGAGCACAGAGAUAUAGUAUUAAUGAGUGUGCACAAAAACACUUGUGCAUGAAGGAGAUUUACAGAGUCGAUGCACAGAGAUAGUCCCACUCUCUCGGCGUGGGAAGCCUGGGUCCAGUGGCACGAAAAGUCAUUACACCUGGAGACUUCCUCAGCUGCAUUGGAUGGCCGUGUUGUCCUUUGUGUUCCAACACGCCCUGAGCAUUCCACAGUGCUUUGCUGCGUCGACAUCUCAGCCGUUGAACCUUCUUAUUGGUUUCUUCUGUCUGUUCAGCCGAAGCAGUCUUCACAUGCUGGAUCCAUGAGGCACUUCUGGGUGGUUUUCUCCAGUUCAGUGGGUUACGGAGAGGAAGAGUGGAUUGUUCGAUUAUGACUUCUGCCGUGAUGGUCUUCUACACUGUGGAAACUGACAUCUUUCCAAUAACUGAAACCUUUUCCUGAGUACAAACAGGAAUGAGAUGCUUUUCUGCUCACAGAAGAAAACUGCCCUUAUCUGGCUUAUAAAAUUAAAAAAUUAAGGGAAAUAAAUAAAUUCCCUCCAAAGGAGAGCUGGAG